rnacentral:rRNA from 1 species
GACGGACGCUGGCGGCGUGCUUAACACAUGCAAGUCGAACGGUAAGGCCCUUCGGGGUACACGAGUGGCGAACGGGUGAGUAACACGUGGGUGAUCUGCCCUGCACUUCGGGAUAAGCCUGGGAAACUGGGUCUAAUACCGGAUAGGACUCCGGACUGCAUGGUCUGGGGUGGAAAGCUUUUGCGGUGUGGGAUGGGCCCGCGGCCUAUCAGCUUGUUGGUGGGGUGAUGGCCUACCAAGGCGACGACGGGUAGCCGGCCUGAGAGGGUAACCGGCCACACUGGGACUGAGAUACGGCCCAGACUCCUACGGGAGGCAGCAGUGGGGAAUAUUGCACAAUGGGCGCAAGCCUGAUGCAGCGACGCCGCGUGAGGGAUGACGGCCUUCGGGUUGUAAACCUCUUUCAGCAUCGACGAAGCGAAAGUGACGGUAGGUGCAGAAGAAGGACCGGCCAACUACGUGCCAGCCGCCGCUGUAA